CAACUACUCCCUCUGUCCCAAAUUUCUUGUCUUAGAUUUUUCUAGAUACAGACGUAUCUUGAUACAUCCGUAUCUAGACAAAUCUAAGACAAGAAUUUUGGGACGGAGGGAGUACUUU
rfam:Triticum aestivum genome assembly, contig: Triticum_aestivum_CS42_TGACv1_scaffold_031287_1BL